rnacentral:rRNA from 1 species
AUCCACCUGGGGAGUACGUUCGCAAGAAUGAAACUCAAAGGAAUUGACGGGGGCCCGCACAAGCGGAGGAACAUGUGGUUUAAUUCGAUGAUACGCGAGGAACCUUACCUGGGCUUAAAUGCAGGAUGACAGACUGGGAAACUAGUCUUUCUUCGGACAGACUGCAAGGUGCUGCAUGGUUGUCGUCAGCUCGUGCCGUGAGGUGUCGGGUUAAGUCCCAUAACGAGCGCAACCCUCAUCGUUAGUUGCCAGCGAGUAAUGUCGGGGACUCUAACGAAACUGCCGGUGUAAACCGUGAGGAAGGUGAGGAUGACGUCAAAUCAGCACGGCCCUUACAUCCAGGGCUACACACGUGUUACAAUGGCCAGUACAAAGGGCAGCUACCUGGUGACAGGAUGCUAAUCUCUAAAACUGGUCACAGUUCGGAUCGAAGUCUGCAACUCGACUUCGUGAAGCUGGAUUCGCUAGUAAUCGCGCAUCAGCCACGGCGCGGUGAAUACGUUCCCGGGCCUUGUACACACCGCCCGUCAAGCCAUGGGAGCUAGGAGUACCUGAAGUUCGUAACCGCAAGGAGCGACCUAGGGUAAAACUGGUGACUGGGGCUAAGUCGUAACAAGGUAGCCG